UACGGAGGGAGCUAGCGUUGUUCGGAAUUACUGGGCGUAAAGCGCACGUAGGCGGCUUUGUAAGUUAGAGGUGAAAGCCCGGGGCUCAACUCCGGAACUGCCUUUAAGACUGCAUCGCUUGAAUCCAGGAGAGGUGAGUGGAAUUCCGAGUGUAGAGGUGAAAUUCGUAGAUAUUCGGAAGAACACCAGUGGCGAAGGCGGCUCACUGGACUGGUAUUGACGCUGAGGUGGCGAAAAGCGUGGGGAGCCGAACAGGG
rnacentral:rRNA from 1 species